UUCCGGAGUGAAGUUGGUCAGUGAUCUGUGCUGGAGCAGGACCACUCGGUUUCGCGUCCGUCAUCCUCCUCUUCUCUUCCUGUGUUAUACGCGACCUCCGUCUGUCCUUCUUUCUCUCUGUUCUUUUCAUUUCGCCUCCUUUCGUCUCGAUAUCAUUACGUCGCGCGAUUCGUCGAGAUUCGGGAAUAUUCCGAUUCCCGGUUUCUUCUCGCGAGAUAUACGACAAUAUAUAUAUAUAGAGAAAGAGAGAGAGAGUGCCACAGUGUGGAGUUGUUAUCAGUGAGGAAAACGUAAAUAUUAUCUUUGACAAACGGCGUCUACCAACAUCGACAACCACCGACGUCGACACCGGAUAGAGUUCAGUAUCACAAAGCGCUGAACAAAUUUUAAACAAGUCACGGAAAAAGGGAAGCAGCGAACGACGACAUCAUUGAAUCGAGCCACCGGUGCCAAAAGUCAACAAAUGGAGCAUAGAGGCGCGCCUUGCGGGCAGCAGGAGCAGCAGUAGCGUCCGUCGCUAUAUCGUCGGAGGGAGACCUGAUCCGAUCUCGCGCCCGUGGAGGACGCGGGAUCGCGCGGGUGCUGCCGAGGCCGUCGACCGCGAUGGCCGCGACCGACGGUCAGAUCAUCGUCGCGGCGGCACGCUGGGCCGAGGAGGCGACGUAUCUGCGCGAGUUCGUCUCCAAGUAUCGCCUGCCAGCCGUGAUCAAGAUCACCAAGGGCCAGUACGGCGGACUGGGCGUGCCGACGCUACCGGCCCCGAGUUUGCAGAGCACGGCGUUGUUGAUCUCGGCCGGUCGUCGCCGUAAAAUCGUGGCGCAGGCGGUGAAGAUCAAGGAGGGCCGCCGGGUGGUUGGCGUCGGGCCGAGACUCGCGAUCCCGGACUCGUACGCGGGUUACUUCGAGAUCCUGAGCGAGGAAGGUCGCGCGGUACGCGGCAUCGAGUCGGUGAACGAGCUGUCACGCAGAUGUCCGGACGAAGGCGCCCUGGUGCGAGAGACGGUGCGCGCCAUCGCCUGUCGGGUGGACGACGAUUCUGGGAUCGUUGUUCCGGAAGGUACGAGGACCCUGGCAGCCGGAGAGACGAUCGUCACCGCCGGGGAGGUCGCGUUACCCGGUCGCGGUCGAUUUCUCCGCUGCGUGGACUGUCGCGGGGAUAGCGUGCUCCUAGGGAUGGAUCAACGCGGUCGCUUCAGCGCCCUGGCGCGCGAGGACAACAUCAGUGGGGUGCACACCGCGAAGGCGCUUCUCAGCAAGCGUCUGCCGCUCACCGUGAGACUGGUACACGGCCAGCCGCCGCGGGGGCUUAAAUCGUCGUCGCAGUUCGUGCCCGAGUUGAGGCUGCUGUCGACCUUCGAGGAGGAGCACGUGUUCGCGCUCCCGUUGCAAAGAGAAGGCGCGGCCGUCGCGCUACCGCUCGCGGCGCCGCUCAAGCUGGUGAAGGCUCGGAACGAGGAGGCUCUGAGAUCGAUGCAGGAGUUCACGAGGCUGGUGGAACGCGCCUCCCGUUUGGUCGCCGACGUGGCCGAUCGAGCGCACGUGCUGGACGGUCGUCUCGGCGAGGGCAAGUCCUCGAGGCAGAGAAGCGGCUCGGGUUUUCUCAGGAGACCGUCGACCAACUCGGAUCACGCGCCGUUGGCUCAUCAUAGAAACAGCAGCAGCGCCGGCCAUCAUCAUCACCAUCAUCACUAUCACAGCAGCAACGGCCAUCAGGUGUCUUCCGGUCACUCGGGUUAUCGGGACGAGAACAGGAUACCGCAGUCAUCGUCCGCCUGCACGGAGGAGUACGACGAGAUCGAUCAGAUAUAUGAUUACGUUCGCGGUUUCGCGCCGUUGCCGAAGAGCGUUAGGUCGCCGUACGAGAGUCCGCUUGUUCCCGGAGGAGGUCAAGGUGGCUCGACCCCGCCCUUGACGCCGGUCACGGUGACGAUCGCGCCCUUGCUCGACGAUCGACCGGAACCGCCGCCGAUCGAGACGAUACCGACCAAGAAGAUCCAGGCGGAGAAGCGGACGAGGCGCGCGGUCAAGGAGGCGCCGCAGCCGCGGCUGGAGAAGCCGCCUCUGGCGAAGCUCUACGUGAAGAACAGCGGCACUCAGCGCGGACGUCCGUUAAUGAGGCAGAAGAGCGCGUCGCCGUUGAAGGAAACGCCGCCGGGUUACAAGGGCGGUUCGCCGCUCUUCAAUAUACGAUACAAGAGCCUGACGAAUCUUCAGCAGGCCAUGGAACUCGACGGCACCCUGGACUCGAGUCACUCGGGCGGAAGGACGUCGGGAGAUUCCGGCGCGGGCGCCAAGUUGCCGGAGAAAAGAUCGAGACGUUUAAGCAGACCGCGAUCGUUGACGAAUUUAGUCUGGGAGCUACGAGGUGGAAGUGGUCUUGGUUGCACGAGACCGGAAACUCCGCCGCCUGUCACGACUGCACCGCUGCCACCGACUAAAUGUGGGCCACGUCUAGCUGUCACUGUCGUAGCACCGCGACGUGUCGGCACGCUCUACCUCUAACUCAUUCGAUCGACGAAGGGCUGAAGAAGGCAAAGAGCCGCAGAAAUUUCCGACGUCGUUUGAUUAAUCAAAAUUUGCAAGAAGAAUUCAAGGAGGAAGAAAGAAAGAAGAACGGGGAGUAUUUCGCCAUUCUUUCAGCGUUAAUUAAAUCGCAGUCGCGAAAGCCAUUCAAACUCGUCGUCCGACACUCAUAUACACACAUAUUCACAUGCUCUAUUCAUUCACACACUUAACAUACACGUACACGACACAUAUGGACCCAAAAGCCUGAUUAACACCGCGUACUUCCUGUGAUCGUCGAUUAAUGAUAAGCGGAAUAAUCAAAAAUAGCGACGCAGCGAAAAGAGGAUAUGUUCAGGUCACGUACGAACAGAAACGUGAAUUUACUGUAAUGCUCUUGUAAGAAAAAAGACGAUGCCGUAUUUCAAAGAGUAUCGAGAUCGAUAGAUGCGACGAGGCGAAGUGGAAGCCAAUAUUUUAUACGAUCCCAAAUAAUCGAUCUGCUGUGUUAGAGAAGCCAUCGAUGAAUAUCACCUGUGCGAUCGUAUGGAUGAAAAGAAAUAAACUUAUAUUGAAAAUCAGGUGCGAGACCGCCUUUCGGUUGAUGGUCCCGAUCAAAGGACACGUUUGGACCUUGGUCUCAUUUUUUUGUGAUUAUUAUUUAAAUAUAUGUUAAGCAGACAAUAGAAUAAGUUAGCCUUGUUAUGUAAUUGAAUAUGAGAAUGGCAUCUGGUUGCACAUCUAGGUGGUCUUAUCCAGAUGUUAUCAUUUUUUUGCAAUAUCCGGAAUAAGCGCAAUAAUUACGAAAAUUAUCUAAAAGAGAGGAAUUAUAAUUAUCCUCCUAUUUACAUACACUAUAUUGAAUUAUUUAUCCAAAAAAAUCUAUGGAUAUUCUUCAAUUAUCAAUAGGAAUAAAACUGUUGGGAAAAGACAGUCGAAAACAAGUGGCCUUCCUUAAAGACAAAAUGACGAGCUAAAUGAGAAUGUUCAAUAAUCAGGAUGCAUUCGCGUUACAAUGAACUAGCUGUAUUACGAAUGUAUAAUAAGCUUUUAGAUUUAUAAUACACAAAGUAUAGAUUCUAUAUUAUCAUGAAUAUUAUAUCGCGUAAUGAAUUUUUGUAUAGAAGGCACUCGGUCCCCUUUACGACAGAACUCUGUGUGUUAUAAGCGUGUGGAUACGCUUAUUUCGUAUGUUGAUGUUCUCGGAGAGUGUAAUUUUGCCAUGACGACGAGCGCAGAAAUGAAGAACUUUCAGCGCAGAGCUUGUAAAAGGCGAUCUUACGCAUUUGCGCGUCAAACUAGAAUUAGUUUUCUAAUUCUUUGGGGCAUUGGAUGUCAAUGGAUCUUUGUAUGAGCUAUCGUCUAUGGAAUAACGCGAACUCCGAUCGUGUUUUAGUCGCUCUUUCGUUGCGCGAAAUGCAGAAGACGCGACUAAAACGAAUGGAUUUCACGGGUUAAUUGCACGAUCAGCUCAUCGAUAUCACUUCAACAUCGUCGGCCACGUUCUCGCGGCGAAAUACUCGGCGCGUAAGGGUCGAGGAUCGUUGUGCCUUCGUGUAUGCACGUUAAAGUACGUUUUAUGAUUGUAAGAAGAGCAGACAUCCACACUUUGUGAUUCCAUAAACAGUUGUUCAUUUUUUUUAUACUUUCUUUAAUGCUUACCUAGGAUAGCUUGUAUACCUUAAAGAGUGUUUCAAUAAAAAUCACAAUGAAAUAA